AUUCUUUUUAGCACCGUCCUGAAAGCUACGAACGAUUGAGUCUAGAAUAUACAAAGCUCCUAAUUUAUGGGUGACGGGAGCACGCUUCGCAUACUUAUACACACUAGCAACAAAUUGCGCAUUCUCUGAAACAUUUUCCAUCGACAAGUUAGUCAAUUUCAAAAUUUUUGAUCCCGAGAUUCCUGUCUUGGAAUGUUCAAGGGAAUCUAAAAUACCAUCGAAUUCAGCGAUUCCCGACAUAUCACAAGAAAAACGACAAUGAAAAAAAAAAAAAACUUUUCAAAACUAGAAAACUACCCUGUUUCCUUUAUAAGAAUUUUACUACUUUUUUUCUUAUAUUAGUUUUUUACACGUGCUUGAAAGACGUUAAAAAAGGAAGUCACCCUGUUCUUAAAUACUUUUUGUGUUAUGGUUACGGUUAAGUGGUGAAGUAGGUGAUGCUGGUUAUAAAGCUGGUAUUACGGAAGGGUAAGGAAAGUGCUUAAAGAGAUGCUAAAAAUUUCCAAAGU